rnacentral:rRNA from 1 species
UACGCAGGGUGCGAGCGUUAAUCGGAAUUACUGGGCGUAAAGCGUGCGCAGGCGGUUUUGUAAGCCAGAUGUGAAAUCCCCGGGCUUAACCUGGGAAUGGCAUUUGGGACUGCAAGGCUUGAGUGCGGCAGAGGAGACUGGAAUUCCUGGUGUAGCAGUGAAAUGCGUAGAUAUCAGGAGGAAUACCGAUGGCGAAGGCAGGUCUCUGGGCUGACACUGACGCUCAUGCACGAAAGCGUGGGGAGCAAACAGG